rnacentral:lncRNA from 1 species
AGGAAAGUUGAUGAGUAGGAAGAGGGAGGAGGGUGUGAUGUGUUGGUUAAUAUAAGCAAAGUUAUGAAGGAGCAUGUGUUUUGGUUUAUGGGGUAGUGGUGAGUUUGCAGAAAGGAGCAAUAUUUUUUGACAUUUGAGAGAUACAGAAUACAGCUUUGAGAGUUGCGAGGAGAGCAAGCUUACACUUCUUGCAGUCUCCAAAGCAAAAGGUAUUUUUCUAAUUAUAUUUGCCUACCCUUUGUUCUUUUCCUCUUUGUUUUGGGGUGUGUUUGGAUUUGAAAGAAAUAGAGAGAGAAAAUGGGGGUCUGAUAAAUUGGUAUAAUCUGGUCUGGUUAGUUGGUAUAUGGCUCUAUCUUCAAUGGUUCACAGAGCUGUAUACAGAAAAAGCAUUUUGGUUAAGAGGUGGUGUUCCUUUUUAAGUACUUGUUUUCGGGAGCUUUUAUUUUUAAGUUACCAUAGAGGUCACGGGUUCGAGCAAUAUAAACAGGCUCUUGUAAAAAUAUAAAAUUAGACUGCGUAUAAUAAAUCUUUAUGAUCUAGCUUUUCCCGACCUCGUGUAUAGCGAGAGCCUAGUGCCACCGGGCUGCCCUUUAAGUGGUGUCCCUUUUUAAGUGAGUACUUGUUUCUGGAACUUUUAUUUUUAAGUCAUAGUGGAGGUCAGGGGUACGAGCCGUGAAAACAGCUUCUUACAUAGAUACAAAACAUACAAUAUAUUCUUGUAGUAGAUUCUUGUGGUCCGUUAUUUUUUCGAAUUCGUGUAUAGCGAAAGCCUAGUAUACCGGACUGCUUUUCAGUGGUGUCCCUUUUAAGUACUUUCUUGCCGGAGCUUUUAUUUUUAAGUCACUUUCUUUUUGUAUUUGGCUUUUUGGCUCGUGGGCUGUUGAUGGGCUACUGCUGUUCCUCUAGUGUUUAUUUUUAUUCCCACUUUUUCUUAUUCUGUAAAUUAAAAUAGUACAGUAUUUCCUUUUGCCUGUUUGCACUUUUACCCAGACAACCUUCUCAUGCAUGUGAAAAUGAUAUAAAGCAGUAUUGCCCCCUCACUGUUCUUUAUUAAUGUAAAAAUAUCUUCUAUAUAUAUUCUGGAAAUGGUGAAUAUGCAACAACUGACUGGGGCAUUGAUGGGGCAUUGUGACAACAACAGGAACUAAGGAACAAGGAAGCUAUGGUGAAAAUAAAGGUGCAUUUUUUGUGGUGGGCCGGUUUGGUUUGUCCAUUCCUAGUUUGAUGUAUUAUAGCCAUUAUUCUCAAGGAAGUGUAAAAAUGUUUAGGAAAUUUUUCAUAGCUCUUGAAGAAUAAUUAGCAUAUAUUCCCUUCUUCAAUAAUUCUUGAGAUGGGAAGUGGAAACUCCUUAGAGGUCGUUUGGUUAGUGGUGUCGGAGUAAUUAAUCUCAGCAUAAAAUUCUAUAUAAAAUAUUAUAGUAUUUGCAUGUAAGAAAAAUGAUCGUCGCAUAAUUAAUGCAACGUCUGGUUGGCAGUAUUAAAUAAUACUCAUAUUAAGUUAUGAUGAAAUUUGUGUAUUAUUUUAUGUACGAUGGUUGAACGAUUUAAAGGCAGUAGUGUCCUUUUAAAGUUGUCCAUGUAUAAAACUCUUUUCAUUAUUAACCAAUGCAUAAUAAUUCCUUCAUUAUUAACCACCAUAUAAGUAAUAUCUGCAAUAGGAGUAUAAUGUUAAUUAUGUGAGCCAAACAACCCCUUAUACUGUUAUUUUAGCUCAAACGAGAAGUAGAAGCUGAUUGGCGGCUAUGAAUUAGAAAAUGAAAAUGUUAUUCUUAGGGGGAAGAUAAUAGGAAGAGAGAUAUGUUAAUAUAAUGUCCUAGAAGUGAUAAAAGGCUACAGUCCACAGAAGCAUGCGUUGAAAUGAAUGAUGGAGGCAUCAGAGGCCAUAGGAGUGGGGAAUGGCGAAUGAGAAAAGAGGGAGCAAAGAUUGGCGUGUCAGGGCAAGGGUCACAACUCUCUUGGACUCCCAAACUACUUCCCCCAAAACAUUAUGUUUAAUUUGCACAAUUUGCUAUAAAUUGGUCAUAUGAAAAUGGUUAGGUUUCCUAAGGAGUACAAAACGGCAUGUAUUUAUUUAUCUAUCUUAUAACUGUAGUGUUGGAACCAUAUUGCACUUGUCACCUUUCACUAAUAGCGUCUUGUGUGACAAGAAUAUGUCAUUCAAACUUAGGUAAGUUUUAUAGAACGGUGGUUAGACCGGUCAUAUUGUAUAGGGUAGAGUAUUGGCGGAUCAAGAAUUUUCAUAUACAGAAGAUGAAAGUAGCAGAAUUGGGGAUGUUGAGAUGGAUGUCUGAGCACACUAGGUUGGAUAAGAUUAGAAAUGAAGAUAUUCGGGUGAAGGAGGGUGUGGCUCCCCUAGAAGAUAAAAUGCGGGAAGCAAGGCUUAGAUGGUUUUGGGCACGUGCAGAGAAGAAGCCUAGAUGCCCCAGUGAGGAGGUGCGAGCGGUUGACCUUGGCAAGUAUGAGGAGAGGUAGAGGGUGACCUAAGAAGUAUUGGGGAGAGGUGAUAAGGCGCGACUCCAGCUCACUGAGGUCAUAGUUUUUGAUAGGAAAGUAUGGAGGUCAAGCAUUAGGGUUGUAAGUUAGAAGGUAGUUGAGCGUUUUCCUACUCCGUACGUGGUAUUAGUCUAGUCUGUUAGUGUCUUGUUUUCUUAUGAAAGUGAAUAAGUGAUACAUAUUGUGUUCUUAUUAUUUUUCCGCUCCGAUUAACUUGUCGUUGUUACUAAUUACUGAUAAUAUUUUUUUUUUAUUUAUUUUAUUCUAUCUUUAUGGCUUCUGUUGUUGUCACUAUUCUAUUGUCUUUUUUCAUCUUCUUGUGCUGAGGGUCUAUCAUAAAUAGUUUUUCUACUUCACAGGGUAAGGGUAAGAUAUGUUGUUUAGCUGUAUUUGUAAAACAAUUAUGGAGAAGAUAAAAUAACAUAAAUGUAAAUGAAACAGAAUUUAAUCCGAGCCCACUGAAUUCACAGUGUUUCCUUAAGGAAUUUAAUCCCCUCAUAGUACCCAAAGUUGUGAAUUAUUUCUUCCCAGGAUAAAACGAAUUAUACACUGGUGUAGCGAUACUUCAAACACAAAUGUUUCAGCGAACACAAAAUCGGUAGCAAAUCACACUUACUGAUACUUUGUUUGUAGUUAAAACAAU